CCGCACUGAAAACCGAAGCUGAAUGUAGACCGAGCAACGGAUUCCCAAAAAAUCAGAUUGAAAAGGCCUCGGUUCUCGAGUGGAAUCUCCGAUUACUGACAGGACGCCAGGACAUCGCGGAUCCCGUCAGGACUCUUUCAAAUGUGCCGACACUUUGAAGGGGGUAAUAUUCCCAGGCCCGAGCAACCCAGAUGGGAACCCUAGUGGGGAAAGUUCUUUAAGUUAAGACACAUGUACAAGCAGCAGGAUUUUUUUAGAACAUUUUUAAGAAAUUUAUAAUUUAUAUGAUGAUCAAUAGAUAGAUACAUUACGGUUUCAAAGGAUUUUGUCCUAUUCAAAUGAGGAACCAAGACCACUUCCCUACUACUUAUAUUAUAUAAAUUUCCCAUUCUGUGAGAACCUGUGAGGACCUCUAUGGCCGGGACGACCUCAAUUCCUGUGGUACUCCUUCACCCAGUUGGCCCUAACCACCCACCUUAAUGGCCCGAAAAAACAAGGUCCGCCGGAGCAACCACCGCAGGCAAUGAGGACAGCCGGUGGUUUUCGCGGGCCAAAGGACGAACG